rnacentral:rRNA from 1 species
CCUACGGGUGGCAGCAGUAGGGAAUAUUGCUCAAUGGGGGAAACCCUGAACCAGCAACGCCGCGUGGAGGAUGAAGGUUUUCGGAUUGUAAACUCCUUUUGUUAGAGAAGAUAAUGACGGUAUCUAACGAAUAAGCACCGGCUAACUCCGUUCCAGCAGCCGCGGUAAUACGGAGGGUGCAAGCGUUACUCAGAAUCACUGGGCGUAAAGCGGGCGUAGGCGGGUUAGCAAGUCAGAUGUGAAAUCCUAUGGCUUAACCCUAGAACUGCAUUUGAAACUGUUAUUAUAGAGUAUAGGAGAGGUAGGUGGAAUUCUUGGUGUAGGGGUGAAAUGCGUAGAGAUCAAGAGGAAUACUCAUUGCGAAGGCGACCUGCUAGAACAUAACUGACGCUGAUGCGCGAAAGCGUGGGGAGCAAACAGGAUUAGAUACCCGAGUAGUC